rnacentral:lncRNA from 1 species
AACUGCCCCCUCAUCUGCGGGAGGAGCCUCCUGAAGGUGGUUAAACAGAGGAGAGAUAUUAAGCGACUCGAUCAAGGACACACAGUGAAUUAGUGGUAAGAAGAGGAUCAAUGACAAAAGAAAAAUUCAAGAACAAGGGGACG